GGGCAAUCUUUGGAAAAUAGAAUCACUCUCAAAGAGGUUGUAAGAGAAGCCCAGCUUCCCUGUCUGGUGAGGUCAUUCCCGGUAAAGCAUGCAAGGGGAUUCCUAGCAAUCCCAAGGGUGAGACUGCAGAACUCCAUGGCAAAGGAAGGCCCUGGAUCACAUGUCUUUCUACAGAAGGGACCCACUUGGGGCAGAAGGGCCUGGCUGAGAAUGAAAUGUGAGCCUUCUUCCAGCUCCUGUGUCAGAACAGCAGAGAAAGGAGCCCAGGAAUAUGAGAGGAGAGCCGAGGCCUUCUCCUGACAACGCC
rnacentral:lncRNA from 1 species